GGCGAGUGAGCGGCAAAAGCUCAAAUUUGAAAUCUGGCGUCUUUGGCGUCCGAGUUGUAAUUUGAAGAAGGUAUCUUUGGGCCCGGCUCUUGUCUAUGUUCCUUGGAACAGGACGUCACAGAGGGUGAGAAUCCCGUGCGAUGAGAUGACCCGGGUCUGUGUAAAGUUCCUUCGACGAGUCGAGUUGUUUGGGAAUGCAGCUCUAAGUGGGUGGUAAAUUCCAUCUAAAGCUAAAUAUUGGCGAGAGACCGAUAGCGAACAAGUACAGUGAUGGAAAGAUGAAAAGAACUUUGAAAAGAGAGUGAAAAAGUACGUGAAAUUGUUGAAAGGGAAGGGCUUGAGAUCAGACUUGGUAUUUUGCAUGCUGCUCUCUCGGGGGCGGCCGCUGCGGUUUACCGGGCCAGCAUCGGUUUGGAGCGGCAGGAUAAUGGCGGAGGAAUGUGGCACGGCUUCUGCUGUGUGUUAUAGCCUCUGACGAUACUGCCAGCCUAGACCGAGGACUGCGGUUUUUACCUAGGAUGUUGGCAUAAUGAUCUUAAGUCGCCCGUC
rnacentral:rRNA from 1 species